rnacentral:misc_RNA from 1 species
GUACACCCCGCCCGUCGCUACUACCGAUUGAAUGGCUUAGUGAGGCCUCCGGAUUGGUCUAAAGAAGGGGGCAACCUCAUCUUGGGACUGAAAAGCUGGUCAAACUUGGUCAUUUAGAGGAAGUAAAAGUCGUAACAAGGUUUCCGUAGGUGAACCUGCGGAAGGAUCAUUACAGUUAGUCUGCGCUUAGCUGCGCGAUUUCACACAGUGUUUUCUUUGAAGAACUUUCUCCAGCGGGACGCAAGUCACGCUGGGGGUAUACUCAAUAUAACUUUUUAAUUUAUCGUCAAAACAAACUAAUAAUCAAAACUUUCAACAACGGAUCUCUUGGUUCUCGCAUCGAUGAAGAACGCAGCGAAAUGCGAUAAGUAAUAUGAAUUGCAGAUAUUCGUGAAUCAUCGAAUCUUUGAACGCACAUUGCGCCCUGUGGUAUUCCGCAGGGCAUGCCUGUUUGAGCGUCAUUUCUCUCUCAAACCCUUGGGUUUGGUAUUGAGUGAUACUCUUAGUCAGACUAAGCGUUUGCUUGAAAUGUAUCGGCGUGGUGGUGGAGCAGCUACCGACGAAUUACAAUGUAUUAGGUUCUACCAAGUCGUUGUAUCUUCCGAGGAAAACUUCCCACCGGCCCCGCCUAACAAAUCACCAAACAAGUUUGACCUCAAAUCAGGUAGGAUUACCCGCUGAACUUAAGCAUAUCAAU